UACGGAGGGGGCUAGCGUUGUUCGGAAUUACUGGGCGUAAAGCGCACGUAGGCGGCUUUGUAAGUUAGAGGUGAAAGCCCGGGGCUCAACUCCGGAACUGCCUCUGAUACUGGGUAUCUUGAGUAUGGAAGAGGUGAGUGGAAUUGCGAGUGUAGAGGUGAAAUUCGUAGAUAUUCGCAGGAACACCAGUGGCGAAGGCGGCUCACUGGUCCAUAACUGACGCUGAGGUGCGAAAGCGUGGGGAGCAAACAGG
rnacentral:rRNA from 1 species